GACGAACGCUGGCGGCGUGCCUAAUACAUGCAAGUAGAACGCAGUUGCGAACGGGGGAGAAACGUGUAGGUAACUGCCCCAUAGCGGGGGAAAACCAUCGGAAACGAUAGCUAAAACCGCCAACUGUGAGAUGGAUCUGCGUUGGAUUAGCUAGUUGGUGAGGUAAAGGCUCACCAAGGCGACGAUACCUAGCCGACCUGAGAGGAUGAUCAGCCACACUGGGACUGAGACACGGCCCAGACUCCUACGGGAGGCAGCAGUGGGGAAUCUUCGACAAUGGGCGGAAGUCUGACCGAGCAACGCCGCGUGAGUGAAGAAGGUUUUCGGGUCGUAAAGCUCUGUUGUUAGGGAAGCGUUACCUAACCAGAAAGCCACGGCUAACUACGUGCCAGCAGCCGCGGUAAUAC
rnacentral:rRNA from 1 species